rnacentral:rRNA from 1 species
AUGUCGUCCCUCGCCUCCCUUCUCCUUGGUCUUCUCUGGGAAGAAGGUCGCCGCCAUUUCCUUGCCGAGCAGCACCGUCGGUUCGUCCGCCAUCGAUGGGGGGCACCACCAGCAGUUUCUGGCCUUGGCAUUAACCGCCGCCAGAACUUCGCUGGAGGACACCGCCAUCACGUGGGCGCUGGACGACGCUGUUGCGCCACGCCGGAGAACCGCCGCCUGGCCACGCCGGUUGACAACCGUCAGGGUCUGGACCUAGGGCUAGUUACCGGACUGAAUGCUCCACCACCGCAGAAUGCUGGGAUGGGCAUGCAAGAGCCUCCAGUUGCCGCUCCAUUCGCACCACGGUGGUGCCAUGUGCAUGGAUAUGGCCCGUGCCCCGCUCGCUCCAGUGGCACACAUCUGCCGUCACCAACGCCGGCAGAGGAGGAGGAGCGGGAGAUCGUCCACGACGUACCUGCACGCGGCUACAGCCCGGCUCCGACGUGCGUCGCCAGCGCCAGGGGCGAUGGCCUCAUCUUCAUCCCGACUCCAGGACGCGCCAUGGCCACCGCGGGCGCGGUCACCACUGCCGGAGCAAGUGGCAGCACCGGUCGAGGGCCUGAGAUGGCCACCACGGGGACAAGCAGCGCCCCAUGGGCGUUCGGUCGCUCCUCUGCUCCUCCAGGCGAACAGAGCUUCUUCCUCUUCGGGGCAGGAGGGACGCCCGCCACGGACGUCGCUGGCACGAGCGGCGGCGCGGGUCCGCCCGACACCGGCACGAGCUGCCGUCUUCUCUUCGGGCACUCCAUCGCUACCGUCGACCGUUGCCCUGGACGUCGUCAGGGCACCUGGAACCCGGCGUCGCUCGGCCUCACCAAUGGACCCCAGAAUGGGGUGGACAUCCCUGACUACACCCCCUCGCCGGACGAGGAAGAGGGCUUCAUCCCUUCACCGUCGGCGGCUCGCCGGUGA